UAGGGAAUCUUCGGCAAUGGACGGAAGUCUGACCGAGCAACGCCGCGUGAGUGAAGAAGGUUUUCGGAUCGUAAAGCUCUGUUGUAAGAGAAGAACGAGUGUGAGAGUGGAAAGUUCACACUGUGACGGUAUCUUACCAGAAAGGGACGGCUAACUACGUGCCAGCAGCCGCGGUAAUACGUAGGUCCCGAGCGUUGUCCGGAUUUAUUGGGCGUAAAGCGAGCGCAGGCGGUUAGAUAAGUCUGAAGUUAAAGGCUGUGGCUUAACCAUAGUACGCUUUGGAAACUGUUUAACUUGAGUGCAAGAGGGGAGAGUGGAAUUCCAUGUGUAGCGGUGAAAUGCGUAGAUAUAUGGAGGAACACCGGUGGCGAAAGCGGCUCUCUGGCUUGUAACUGACGCUGAGGCUCGAAAGCGUGGGGAGCAAACAGGAUUAGAUACCCUGGUAGUCCACGCCGUAAACGAUGAGUGCUAGGUGUUAGACCCUUUCCGGGGUUUAGUGCCGCAGCUAACGCAUUAAGCACUCCGCCUGGGGAGUACGACCGCAAGGUUUG
rnacentral:rRNA from 1 species